rnacentral:ncRNA from 2 species
UUAGCUUAAUAUUAUUGUUAAUAAAGUUUUUACAAAAGGAACGUGGUGAAAAACCACGACAGUUUCUUUGCUACUGUAAGGAGAAUUUGGAUGCAUUCAGUCAUUGGGUUAACCGAGAAGGCUAGUUUGUUAAACGUCCCUCCGAGUCAGGAUAUUUUUGUAAAGGUUCUAUCGUUU